UUUCUUUCAAUGCACCCUAUAGCAAUAAUUCUCAAAUCGACAGAAAAUGUUGUAUAUCUUCACACCGCCAUCGAAAGGGAGACUGCAAAAACUCACCUCUCGUUUCUUUCAACGCACACAAUAGCCCAAAUUCUCAGAUCGACGAAGAAGUUGUAAAUCUGCAAACCGCCAUCGAAGGAAAAAAUCUGCAAAUCUCGUCAUUUGAAACAUGCAAAAACUCUCCCCCCUUUUCGUUCAACCCAAACUUUGUAAUCAUAGCCACUUAUUGCUGAGAUCUAUAGAGAGUCUGUAGAUCUGGAAACCGAGAAGAUGGCGCAAAAUCGAAAACGUACAGUGAAAGACAGAGAUUUAGAGCCUACGACCCCAGGCCAGAAGAAAACAAACAAGAGAUUCAUUAGAGGUUGAUGCUACUGACACGAUCAUGUUUCUAGAAGAUCCCCGAUGACGUUUGGAAGUUGUGAAUUCAGUCGGACGUCAAGACUAUGUCUGUUAUGACAUCACCCCAACCAUAAUCAAUUAUGAUAGAUUGUAGUUUGUUCAUCGACUAUAUUGCAACACUGUUUGUAUCUAUUAAUUUGUAUCUUACAAUAUUUUGUAUUUAAUGUA